rnacentral:ribozyme from 1 species
UGCCCAGCAACACUUAUCCCUACCUCCUAACGGUACUGGCCAGGUACGAGCAACCUUACGGAAGAUUGGGUAAUAAACCCCCGGUGGGAACGAUGGUCGUAUGCUGACAGGAAAGG